rnacentral:piRNA from 1 species
UUGGGGGAGGUAGAGUAAGAUCCUAGGA